AGCUACGUUUGGAAGAGAUAAGCACUGAAAGCAUCUAAGUGCGAAGCUCCACUCAAGAUGAGGCUUCUUUUAAGGGACGUUCGAGACUAGGACGUUGAUAGGCUGCAGGUGUAAAGACAGAAAUGUCAAAGCUGAGCAGUACUAAUUACCCGUAACUUCCUUUACG
rnacentral:rRNA from 1 species